GACGUAGGGGGCCAGCGUUGUUCGGAAUUACUGGGUGUAAAGGGUUCGUAGGCGGUGCGGCAAGUUGGGAGUGAAAUCUCUGGGCUUAACCCAGAGGCUGCUUCCAAAACUGCUGUGCUUGAGUGUGGGAGAGGCGCGUGGAAUUGCAGGUGUAGCGGUGAAAUGCGUAGAUAUCUGCAGGAACACCCGUGGCGAAAGCGGCGCGCUGGACCUCUUCUGACGCUGAGGCGCGAAAGCCAGGGGAGCAAACGGG
rnacentral:rRNA from 1 species